rnacentral:rRNA from 1 species
UACGUAGGGGGCAAGCGUUGUCCGGAAUCAUUGGGCGUAAAGCGCGUGUAGGCGGCUCGAUAAGUCUGCUGUGAAAGUCCAGGGCUCAACCCUGGGAUGCCGGUGGAUACUGUCGAGCUCGAGUCCAGAAGAGGCGAGUGGAAUUCCUGGUGUAGCGGUGAAAUGCGCAGAUAUCAGGAGGAACACCAAUGGCGAAGGCAGCUCGCUGGGACGUGACUGACGCUGAGACGCGAAAGCGUGGGGAGCAAACAGG